rnacentral:rRNA from 1 species
UACAGAGGUCUCAAGCGUUGUUCGGAUUCAUUGGGCGUAAAGCGCACGUAGGCGGAUCGAUCAGUCAGGGGUGAAAUCCCAGGGCUCAACCCUGGAACUGCCUUUGAUACUGUCGAUCUGGAGUAUGGAAGAGGUGAGUGGAAUUCCGAGUGUAGAGGUGAAAUUCGUAGAUAUUCGGAGGAACACCAGUGGCGAAGGCGGCUCACUGGUCCAUUACUGACGCUGAGGUGCGAAAGCGUGGGGAGCAAACAGG